GCGCGGUGGCGCAGGUGCGGUGCGGUGGUCUUCAGCGCCACCGGGUAGCCGAGGCGGGCGGCCGCUGCGACGGCCGCCUCGGG
rnacentral:tRNA from 1 species